rnacentral:rRNA from 1 species
UACGUAGGGGGCAAGCGUUGUCCGGAUUUAUUGGGCGUAAAGAGCGUGUAGGCGGCCAGGUAGGUCUGCUGUGAAAACUCGGAGGCUUAACCUCGAGCUGUCGGCGGAAACCAUCUGGCUAGAGUCCGGAAGAGGAGAAUGGAAUUCCCGGUGUAGCGGUGAAAUGCGCAGAUAUCGGGAAGAACACCCGUGGCGAAGGCGGUUCUCUGGGACGGUACUGACGCUGAGACGCGAAAGCGUGGGGAGCGAACAGG